UCCUGGAUCAGAUGUUAUAAGGGAAGGUGCAACGUGUCGGUAUCCGCGAUCGAACUGGUGGGGAUUUCAUACGGUUCCUGGAGGAAUUUCGGGAUCUUCAUUGUAUCGUGAAUCCUGCGUUGAGUGAUCUAGUCGAAGAUCGUACGCAAAGUGGCGCGGUGCUUGGUUAUUCGUCUCGAUCGUUUUCAGAUUUCAUCGUCUGACUCCAACGUUUCCGGUAAUCAGCCGAAUCUUUCAGUCGUCGAGCGAAUUUUUGAGGGUGCCGUGAUCUUUUUUCGAACUUUCGUUUAAUCGACCGAUUGACGGAAGAGGCGCCAGAAGGAAUAAAAAAGAAAUAUUCAACACGACGAUUAAUAUUUUGGUGUCGUGAAUCAUCCUCUGUGAAUGCCGAAAAAUGCCACAGGCAGCCCACGAAACGAAAAACAUCUUAACCACGUACUUUAUAUUGAUCCUCUUGCUGAUUUGCCUCUGGUUGUUGUACUCGGGAUUGUUUUAACUCUAGAAUACAUUCCUCGCCAUGGAGUGAAGUAAGAAGCACGAAGAGUACCACACACGUUCGUCGAUAACCAGAUAUCCUUGAUAGAUCUACUAUUACUCAGGAUAUGCCAGAUACCAGUUUUUCCUUCAUCCAAUUAACGACUGCUCCCUCUCCGCGUCGCAUUUGCGACGAUACCUGUUUCAAAAUGAAGGAGACAAGAGUAAUCCACUUAAGCUCUUUCAACGUUCUCUAUGAGUUUCAUGUUCGUCUACCCUUUUUCCCUACGAUUUUAUGUAUUUCACGGACACGAUAAUUGGACGUCAAAGAGAUAGUUCUAUUUCUAAUAAAAGGAAUAGCCAAA